rnacentral:rRNA from 1 species
GAUGAAUGCUGGCGGCGUGCCUAAUACAUGCAAGUCGUACGGAAAGGCCCUUCGGGGUACUCGAGUGGCGGACGGCUGAGUAACGCGUGGGAACGUGCCCCAAAGUGAGGAAUAACUGCCCGAAAGGGUAGCUAAUGCCGCAUAUGGUCUUCGGAUUAAAGCUUCGGCGCUUUGGGAGCGGCCCGCGUACGAUUAGAUAGUUGGUGAGGCAAUGGCUCACCAAGUCGACGAUCGUUAGCUGGUCUGAGAGGAUGAUCAGCCAGACUGGAACUGAGACACGGUCCAGACUCCUACGGGAGGCAGCAGUAAGGAAUCUUCCACAAUGGGCGAAAGCCUGAUGGAGCAACGCCGCGUGCAGGAUGAAGGCCUUCGGGUCGUAAACUGCUUUUAUAAGUGAAGAAUAUGACGGUAACUUACGAAUAAGCACCGGCUAACUACGUGCCAGCCGCCGCAGUAA